CAAUAGCGUAUAUUAAAGUUGUUGCAGUUAAAAAGCUCGUAGUUGGAUUUCUGGUGGGAGCGAUCGGUCUGGCGCUUAGCGCGAGUACUUGCAUCGUCUCCGGCCAUCCUUGGGGAGAGUCUGUCUGGCAUUAGGUUGUCGGGCAGAGGAUCCUCAUCGUUUACUGUGAAAAAAUUAGAGUGUUCAAAGCAGGCUUAUGCCGUUGAAUAUAUUAGCAUGGAAUAAUAAGAUAGGACUUUGGUACUAUUUUGUUGGUUUGCGCACCAAAGUAAUGAUUAAUAGGGACAGUUGGGGGUAUUCGUAUUCCGUUGUCAGAGGUGAAAUUCUUGGAUUUACGGAAGACAAACAGCUGCGAAAGCGUCUGCCAAGGAUGUUUUCAUUAA
rnacentral:rRNA from 1 species